rnacentral:rRNA from 1 species
AAUGAACGUUGGCGGCGUGGAUUAGGCAUGCAAGUCGCGCGACAAGGAACCUUCGGGUUCUGGAGGAGCGGCAAACGGGGUAGUAAGGCAUCGGAACGUACCCUCUUGUUGGGAAUAGGCCGCGGGAAACGUGCGAAGUAAUGCCCAAUAAUCCCUACGGGGCAAAGGUCCGCCGCAGGAGGAGCGGCCGAUGUGAUACCAGCUAGUUGGUGAGGUAAUGGCUCACCAAGGCUUAGACGUCUAGGGGGUGUGAGAGCAUGGCCCCCACACUGGGACUGAGAUACUGCCCAGACACCUACGGGUGGCCGCAGUCGAGAAUCUUCGGCAAUGGGCGCAAGCCUGACCGAGCAACGCCGCGUGCGGGAUGAAGGCCCUUGGG